GGGUUGUGAGGUUAAGCGACUAAGCGUACACGGUGGAUGCCCUGGCAGUCAGAGGCGAUGAAGGACGUGCUAAUCUGCGAUAAGCGUCGGUAAGGUGAUAUGAACCGUUAUAACCGGCGAUUUCCGAAUGGGGAAACCCAGUGUGAUUCGUCACACUAUCAUUAACUGAAUCCAUAGGUUAAUGAGGCGAACCGGGGGAACUGAAACAUCUAAGUACCCCGAGGAAAAGAAAUCAACCGAGAUUCCCCCAGUAGCGGCGAGCGAACGGGGAGCAGCCCAGAGCCUGAAUCAGUGUGUGUGUUAGUGGAAGCGUCUGGAAAGGCGCGCGAUACAGGGUGACAGCCCCGUACACAAAAAUGCACAUGCUGUGAGCUCGAUGAGUAGGGCGGGACACGUGGUAUCCUGUCUGAAUAUGGGGGGACCAUCCUCCAAGGCUAAAUACUCCUGACUGACCGAUAGUGAACCAGUACCGUGAGGGAAAGGCGAAAAGAACCCCGGCGAGGGGAGUGAAAAAGAACCUGAAACCGUGUACGUACAAGCAGUGGGAGCACGCUUAGGCGUGUGACUGCGUACCUUUUGUAUAAUGGGUCAGCGACUUAUAUUCUGUAGCAAGGUUAACCGAAUAGGGGAGCCGAAGGGAAACCGAGUCUUAACUGGGCGUUAAGUUGCAGGGUAUAGACCCGAAACCCGGUGAUCUAGCCAUGGGCAGGUUGAAGGUUGGGUAACACUAACUGGAGGACCGAACCGACUAAUGUUGAAAAAUUAGCGGAUGACUUGUGGCUGGGGGUGAAAGGCCAAUCAAACCGGGAGAUAGCUGGUUCUCCCCGAAAGCUAUUUAGGUAGCGCCUCGUGAAUUCAUCUCCGGGGGUAGAGCACUGUUUCGGCAAGGGGGUCAUCCCGACUUACCAACCCGAUGCAAACUGCGAAUACCGGAGAAUGUUAUCACGGGAGACACACGGCGGGUGCUAACGUCCGUCGUGAAGAGGGAAACAACCCAGACCGCCAGCUAAGGUCCCAAAGUCAUGGUUAAGUGGGAAACGAUGUGGGAAGGCCCAGACAGCCAGGAUGUUGGCUUAGAAGCAGCCAUCAUUUAAAGAAAGCGUAAUAGCUCACUGGUCGAGUCGGCCUGCGCGGAAGAUGUAACGGGGCUAAACCAUGCACCGAAGCUGCGGCAGCGACGCUGAUGCGUUGUUGGGUAGGGGAGCGUUCUGUAAGCCUGCGAAGGUGUGCUGUGAGGCAUGCUGGAGGUAUCAGAAGUGCGAAUGCUGACAUAAGUAACGAUAAAGCGGGUGAAAAGCCCGCUCGCCGGAAGACCAAGGGUUCCUGUCCAACGUUAAUCGGGGCAGGGUGAGUCGACCCCUAAGGCGAGGCCGAAAGGCGUAGUCGAUGGGAAACAGGUUAAUAUUCCUGUACUUGGUGUUACUGCGAAGGGGGGACGGAGAAGGCUAUGUUGGCCGGGCGACGGUUGUCCCGGUUUAAGCGUGUAGGCUGGUUUUCCAGGCAAAUCCGGAAAAUCAAGGCUGAGGCGUGAUGACGAGGCACUACGGUGCUGAAGCAACAAAUGCCCUGCUUCCAGGAAAAGCCUCUAAGCAUCAGGUAACAUCAAAUCGUACCCCAAACCGACACAGGUGGUCAGGUAGAGAAUACCAAGGCGCUUGAGAGAACUCGGGUGAAGGAACUAGGCAAAAUGGUGCCGUAACUUCGGGAGAAGGCACGCUGAUAUGUAGGUGAAGUCCCUCGCGGAUGGAGCUGAAAUCAGUCGAAGAUACCAGCUGGCUGCAACUGUUUAUUAAAAACACAGCACUGUGCAAACACGAAAGUGGACGUAUACGGUGUGACGCCUGCCCGGUGCCGGAAGGUUAAUUGAUGGGGUUAGCGCAAGCGAAGCUCUUGAUCGAAGCCCCGGUAAACGGCGGCCGUAACUAUAACGGUCCUAAGGUAGCGAAAUUCCUUGUCGGGUAAGUUCCGACCUGCACGAAUGGCGUAAUGAUGGCCAGGCUGUCUCCACCCGAGACUCAGUGAAAUUGAACUCGCUGUGAAGAUGCAGUGUACCCGCGGCAAGACGGAAAGACCCCGUGAACCUUUACUAUAGCUUGACACUGAACAUUGAGCCUUGAUGUGUAGGAUAGGUGGGAGGCUUUGAAGUGUGGACGCCAGUCUGCAUGGAGCCGACCUUGAAAUACCACCCUUUAAUGUUUGAUGUUCUAACGUGGACCCGUAAUCCGGGUUGCGGACAGUGUCUGGUGGGUAGUUUGACUGGGGCGGUCUCCUCCUAAAGAGUAACGGAGGAGCACGAAGGUUGGCUAAUCCUGGUCGGACAUCAGGAGGUUAGUGCAAUGGCAUAAGCCAGCUUGACUGCGAGCGUGACGGCGCGAGCAGGUGCGAAAGCAGGUCAUAGUGAUCCGGUGGUUCUGAAUGGAAGGGCCAUCGCUCAACGGAUAAAAGGUACUCCGGGGAUAACAGGCUGAUACCGCCCAAGAGUUCAUAUCGACGGCGGUGUUUGGCACCUCGAUGUCGGCUCAUCACAUCCUGGGGCUGAAGUAGGUCCCAAGGGUAUGGCUGUUCGCCAUUUAAAGUGGUACGCGAGCUGGGUUUAGAACGUCGUGAGACAGUUCGGUCCCUAUCUGCCGUGGGCGCUGGAGAACUGAGGGGGGCUGCUCCUAGUACGAGAGGACCGGAGUGGACGCAUCACUGGUGUUCGGGUUGUCAUGCCAAUGGCACUGCCCGGUAGCUAAAUGCGGAAGAGAUAAGUGCUGAAAGCAUCUAAGCACGAAACUUGCCCCGAGAUGAGUUCUCCCUGACUCCUUGAGAGUCCUGAAGGAACGUUGAAGACGACGACGUUGAUAGGCCGGGUGUGUAAGCGCAGCGAUGCGUUGAGCUAACCGGUACUAAUGAACCGUGAGGCUUAACCUUACAACGCCGAAGGUGUUU
rnacentral:rRNA from 1 species